rnacentral:rRNA from 1 species
CAGUCGCGUCGGCUGGAAAUCAACCUUGCUUUUGCUGGGUGUACUUUCUAGUUGACGGGCCAGCAUCAGUUUUGACCGGUGGAAAAAGUCCAAGGGAAUGUGGCACCUUCGGGUGUGUUAUAGCCCCUUUCCGCAUACGCCGGUUGGGAUCGAGGACCUUCAGUGCACGCUUCGGUUGUGCUUUGAUGCUGGCGUAAUGGCUUUAAGCCGACCCGUCUUGAAACACGGACCAAGGAGUCUAACAUAUGU